rnacentral:rRNA from 1 species
AGUGAACGCUGGCGGUAGGCCUAACACAUGCAAGUCGAACGGCAGCACAGUAAGAGCUUGCUCUUACGGGUGGCGAGUGGCGGACGGGUGAGGAAUACAUCGGAAUCUACUUUUUCGUGGGGGAUAACGUAGGGAAACUUACGCUAAUACCGCAUACGACCUACGGGUGAAAGCAGGGGAUCUUCGGACCUUGCGCGAUUGAAUGAGCCGAUGUCGGAUUAGCUAGUUGGCGGGGUAAAGGCCCACCAAGGCGACGAUCCGUAGCUGGUCUGAGAGGAUGAUCAGCCACACUGGAACUGAGACACGGUCCAGACUCCUACGGGAGGCAGCAGUGGGGAAUAUUGGACAACGGGCGCAAGCCUGAUCCAGCCAUACCGCGUGGGUGAAGAAGGCCUUCGGGUUGUAAAGCCCUUUUGUUGGGAAAGAAAAGCAGCAGGUUAAUACCCCGCUGUUCUGACGGUACCCAAAGAAUAAGCACCGGCUAACUUCGU